CCUUGACAUGGGCGUCGCGGUUCCUGGAGACAGGAUCCUUCAGUUCGGGCUGGACGCCACACAGGUGCUGCAUGGCUGUCGUCAGCUCGUGUCGUGAGAUGUUGGGUUAAGUCCCGCAACGAGCGCAACCCUCGCCCUUAGUUGCCAUCGGUUCGGUCGGGCACUCUAGGGGAACUGCCGGUGACAAGCCGGAGGAAGGCGGGGAUGACGUCAAGUCCUCAUGGCCCUUAUGGGCUGGGCUACACACGUGCUACAAUGGCGGUGACAGUGGGCAGCGAGGCAGCGAUGCCGAGCCAAUCCCAAAAAGCCGUCUCAGUUCGGAUUGUUCUCUGCAACUCGAGAGCAUGAAGGUGGAAUCGCUAGUAAUCGUGGAUCAGCAUGCCACGGUGAAUACGUUCCCGGGCCUUGUACACACCGCCCGUCACACCAUGGGAGUUGGUUUUACCCGAAGCCGGUGCGCUAACCUUUGGGAGGCAACCGACCACGGUUAGAGUUUCAA
rnacentral:rRNA from 1 species